rnacentral:antisense_RNA from 1 species
UGAUACCGUUAUUGUGCGGGCAGCCGUAAGGCUGGCCGUUUCUCCAUUCGGUACCGCUACCCCGCGCAAUCUGCCGCCCAU